AGUGGCGAACGGGUGAGUAAAGCAUCGGAACGUGCCCAGUAGUGGGGGAUAGCCCGGCGAAAGCCGGAUUAAUGCCGCAUACGACCUAAGGGUGAAAGGGGGGGAUCGCAAGACCUCUCGCUAUUGGAGCGGCCGAUGUCAGAUUAGCUAGUUGGUGGGGUAAAAGCUCACCAAGGCGACGAUCUGUAGCUGGUCUGAGAGGAUGAGCAGCCACACUGGGACUGAGACACGGCCCAGACUCCUACGGGAGGCAGCAGUGGGGAAUUUUCCGCAAUGGGCGAAAGCCUGACGGAGCAACGCCGCGUGAGGGAGGAAGGUCUUUGGAUUGUAAACCUCUUUUCUCAAGGAAGAAGUUCUGACGGUACUUGAGGAAUCAGCCUCGGCUAACUCCGUGCCAGCAGCCGCGGUAAUACGGGGGAGGCAAGCGUUAUCCGGAAUUAUUGGGCGUAAAGCGUCCGCAGGUGGUCAGCCAAGUCUGCUGUCAAAUCAGGUUGCUUAACGACCUAAAGGCGGUGGAAACUGGCAGACUAGAGAGCAGUAGGGGUAGCAGGAAUUCCCAGUGUAGCGGUGAAAUGCGUAGAGAUUGGGAAGAACAUCGGUGGCGAAAGCGUGCUACUGGGCUGUAUCUGACACUCAGGGACGAAAGCUAGGGGAGCGAAAGGGAUUAGAUACCCCUGUAGUCCUAGCCGUAAACGAUGGAUACUAGGCGUGGCUUGUAUCGACCCGAGCCGUGCCGAAGCUAACGCGUUAAGUAUCCCGCCUGGGGAGUACGCACGCAAGUGUGAAACUCAAAGGAAUUGACGGGGGCCCGCACAAGCGGUGNAGUAUGUGGUUUAAUUCGAUGCAACGCGAAGAACCUUACCAAGACUUGACAUGUCGCGAACCC
rnacentral:rRNA from 1 species